rnacentral:lncRNA from 1 species
UAUUGCUGCCUGAGUUAUAACAGCUGCCCUGGGAAUCUUGUCUGAACAACAAGUUAACUGCUGUUCCCAGUUAUAUCUGGUCUUUCCCACCCCCAAACAUACACAAAAGAUUUUUGUCAUUCUUGGCACUGGACAACAGAAGUGAUAAGACAUGCCAGCAGAACUCUAAAGGCAGAAUGUCCUUCCACCUGUUUUAUGCUGUAAGACAAACUUCCAAGUGCGAGGCAGUGUGGAGGGCUGUUGCCUUGAAUGGCAGCUGAAUGCACCAGCGGGAUCCUUGGCAGCAAUGCCCAGGCACUGAAGUCGGGCAUUCAGGAGAGCUAAAUGGAGAAAAGAAACUUGAGCAAACUGCUUCCUGGAACACUGAGAACCUGAAUGGGAAAUUAAGAAGAACCAGAUUCUUUCUAUUCUUCCACCAGCCAAGCAACUUCAGGAUGGGGGAAUCAAGCAAAACCAUGGUGAAGAGAUUCAUUUAAAGAGGACAAGUGAUUUAUUCUACAUCUCAGGAGACAGUUCCUUAAGGUGAUGAGCACAAAAGGAUCCAUCUUAUACAGUGCUUGCCAGCUUCCAUA